rnacentral:tmRNA from 2 species
GGGGACGACUUGGCUUCGACGGAGGUCGCGAAACCUAAGGUGCAUACCGAGUGGUGAGAGACACUCGUAAAUCAAUCUUUCAACUUAAAGUAAUCGCAAACGACGAUACUUACGCUCUAGCAGCUUAAUAACCUGCUAAGCCCUUCCACUCUUGUUUGUCUAUGGACAGAGGCUCGGAAGGUCACCCUACAUAGAAUCGCUAGCAACUCAUGCCUGUGGUGUUGCCGCUAAAACUUAACAGGCCCGCUGUAUGUAGCCCUGCCCGCCGGGUGGCAUGCAGUUAAAUAAUAGGCGGAGCUAAGUAUGUAGAGCCGAAGGCAGAGGGCUUGCGGACGCGGGUUCAACUCCCGCCGUCUCCACCA